UUUAUGGAGAGUUUGAUCCUGGCUCAGGAUGAACGCUGGCGGCGUGCCUAAUACAUGCAAGUCGAGCGAACAGAUAAGGAGCUUGCUCCUUUGACGUUAGCGGCGGACGGGUGAGUAACACGUGGGUAACCUACCUAUAAGACUGGAAUAACUCCGGGAAACCGGGGCUAAUGCCGGAUAACAUGUUGAACCGCAUGGUUCUACAGUGAAAGACGGUCUUGCUGUCACUUAUAGAUGGACCCGCGCCGUAUUAGCUAGUUGGUGGGGUAACGGCCUACCAAGGCGACGAUACGUAGCCGACCUGAGAGGGUGAUCGGCCACACUGGAACUGAGACACGGUCCAGACUCCUACGGGAGGCAGCAGUAGGGAAUCUUCCGCAAUGGGCGAAAGC
rnacentral:rRNA from 1 species